rnacentral:rRNA from 1 species
AUUGAACGCUGGCGGCAGGCCUAACACAUGCAAGUCGAGCGGAUGAAGGGAGCUUGCUCCUGGAUUCAGCGGCGGACGGGUGAGUAAUGCCUAGGAAUCUGCCUGGUAUUGGGGGAUAACGUCCGGAAACGGGCGCUAAUACCGCAUACGUCCUGAGGGAGAAAGUGGGGGAUCUUCGGACCUCACGCUAUCUGAUGAGCCUAGGUCGGAUUAGCUAGUUGGUGGGGUAAAGGCCUACCAAGGCGACGAUCCGUAACUGAUCUGAGAGGAUGAUCAGUCACACUGGAACUGAGACACGGUCCAGACUCCUACGGGAGGCAGCAGUGGGGAAUAUUGGACAAUGGGCGAAAGCCUGAUCCAGCCAUGCCGCGUGUGUGAAGAAGGUCUUCGGAUUGUAAAGCACUUUUAGUUGGGAGGAAGGGCAGUAAGUUAAUACCUGGCUGUUUUGACGUUACCAACAGAAUAAGCACCGGCUAACUUCGUG